rnacentral:rRNA from 1 species
AUUGAACGCUGGCGGCAUGCCUUACACAUGCAAGUCGAACGGCAGCACGGGAGCAAUCCUGGUGGCGAGUGGCGAACGGGUGAGUAAUGUAUCGGAACGUGCCCAGUCGUGGGGGAUAACGCAGCGAAAGCUGUGCUAAUACCGCAUACGAUCUAGGGAUGAAAGCGGGGGAUCGCAAGACCUCGCGGGAUUGGAGCGGCCGAUAUCAGAGUAGGUAGUUGGUGGGGUAAAGGCCCACCAAGCCUGCGAUCUGUAGCUGGUCUGAGAGGACGAUCAGCCACACUGGGGCUGAGGCACGGCCCAGACUCCUACGGGAGGCAGCAGUGGGGAAUUUUGGACAAUGGGCGCAAGCCUGAUCCAGCAAUGCCGCGUGCAGGAUGAAGGCCUUCGGGUUGUAAACUGCUUUUGUACGAGACGAAAAGACUCGCUCUAAUACAGUGGGUACAUGACGGUAUCGUAAGAAUAAGCACCGGCUAACUACGUGCCAGCAGCCGCCGUAA